AUAUCGCCAUCAACUCAAGCGGCAAUAGAUGCGCUUAUCAAAGAUUUGGGUAAAGAUGCUACUAAUGCUAGACCAUUAUAUUCUUACGAUUCACAGAAUAUAACUAGCAGCCAGUACUUGUUGAUCGACCGUCAAUUACCCACUGAUAUUCCAAUAACGGAGAUUGCUGUUAAAUCUGAUGCAGUCACUCCUGCGCAUAGAAAUAGAAUGCCUUCGAGAAGGAUUCAAUCUCCAUAUUGUACUUCUUUUGGGUCAAGUGAGAAGGGAAAAGAGAAAUUGAAGGAUAUGGCUCGACUCCAUUUCCCGUUCGAAGGAUGUGGCAUUGCAGAUAAAGUUUUGCCGAAACUUAUUGAGGAUUACAUGAAUUGGUUGUUGAGGGGGCUUCUAAAAAAUCAUAACAAUAAGAACCCAUCGGACGAUAAAUACAGAUCAAGAUCUUCUUCUUUUGGAUUUACGAUGAUGGACUUUGUUGUUGCUUUUCUAAUGAACAAGAAUUGAUUUUAUGUCAUGUCACAGCCAAACAAAUGUUGGUCUGAUGAGCACAUCGAUGUGAUUUUUUACUACCUUCGUAAAAAAUAAAAACUUUGCAGCAUGGAUCAAUACAGAUACACAACAAC